GUAAAAUACUAAAGUAGGGCGCAUCGCCACUCAAUGGGUUAACUAGACACAUGGGCUGAUAGGCCAGUUAACCCAUUAAGCGCCAGCGCUCUCCCCUUGACGAGUAAAAUCAUCUGGCGUUAGACAGAGUAAAAUAAUAAAGUAGCGUGCAUCAGGGUGCAUCGCCCCUGAAUGGGUUAAUUAGACACAUGGGCAGAUAGGGCAGUUAACUAGACACAUGGGCAGAUAGGCCAGUUAACCCAUUAAGCGCCAGCGCUCUCCCCUUGAUGAGUAAAAUCGUCUGGCGUUAAACAGAAUAAAAUACAAAGGAGGGUGCAUC